CCGCACUGUUGCAGACAGUCACAGAAAGAUCGCACAACAUGAGCAGACGCAGUAUGGGUGUUGGCUCAUAUAUUGGUUUGGCCCUUAGGCCACAGCUGUGUGGAAAAAAACCUUCUCUACCCAUUAAUUGCCAAUGACAAAGGCAGAGAAUGUAAGAACUACAGUCAUUAGAUUCCAUUGAUGGCUUCAUUUUGGGGCACAUGUAUUCAGUGACUGGCUUGUUCCUCGGAAGUGAUGCAGCUUGAGAAGAGCUAAUUUUAUUUCCAUGUUUGGAGAAUGUAAAAUGAGUGGGGGAGUUUCUUUUGUAAACCAUGUUUAUGUAAUGCACAAUUUUGAAAGUUAUGCAUUGAUUGUUACCAAUAAAGAAAGAUACUU
ensembl:lncRNA